GGGGAUAGGCUGGGCAAUGAUUAGCAGCUGGUGAGCAAUUGCAUUAUGCAACACUUGUUUUGUAUACAUUAUUAUUGAUAGUACUAUUGUCAUCAUUAUUAUUAUUUUCCUUUCUUUUCUGUGCUAAUAAAUGUCUCUAUCUCAGCCCACAAGCUUUCACUUUUUCCUGAUCCUGUCUCCCCCACUG